UUCGACACACUAUCAUUAACUGAAUCCAUAGGUUAAUGAGGCGAACCGGGGGAACUGAAACAUCUAAGUACCCCGAGGAAAAGAAAUCAACCGAGAUUCCCCCAGUAGCGGCGAGCGAACGGGGAGGAGCCCAGAGCCUGAAUCAGUGUGUGUGUUAGUGGAAGCGUCUGGAAAGGCGCGCGAUACAGGGUGACAGCCCCGUACACAAAAAUGCACAUAUUGUGAGCUCGAUGAGUAGGGCGGGACACGUGGUAUCCUGUCUGAAUAUGGGGGGACCAUCCUCCAAGGCUAAAUACUCCUGACUGACCGAUAGUGAACCAGUACCGUGAGGGAAAGGCGAAAAGAACCCCGGCGAGGGGAGUGAAAAAGAACCUGAAACCGUGUACGUACAAGCAGUGGGAGCCUCUUAAUGGGGUGACUGCGUACCUUUUGUAUAAUGGGUCAGCGACUUAUAUUCUGUAGCAAGGUUAACCGAAUAGGGGAGCCGAAGGGAAACCGAGUCUUAACUGGGCGUUAAGUUGCAGGGUAUAGACCCGAAACCCGGUGAUCUAGCCAUGGGCAGGUUGAAGGUUGGGUAACACUAACUGGAGGACCGAACCGACUAAUGUUGAAAAAUUAGCGGAUGACUUGUGGCUGGGGGUGAAAGGCCAAUCAAACCGGGAGAUAGCUGGUUCUCCCCGAAAGCUAUUUAGGUAGCGCCUCGUGAAUUCAUCUCCGGGGGUAGAGCACUGUUUCGGCAAGGGGGUCAUCCCGACUUACCAACCCGAUGCAAACUGCGAAUACCGGAGAAUGUUAUCACGGGAGACACACGGCGGGUGCUAACGUCCGUCGUGAAGAGGGAAACAACCCAGACCGCCAGCUAAGGUCCCAAAGUCAUGGUUAAGUGGGAAACGAUGUGGGAAGGCCCAGACAGCCAGGAUGUUGGCUUAGAAGCAGCCAUCAUUUAAAGAAAGCGUAAUAGCUCACUGGUCGAGUCGGCCUGCGCGGAAGAUGUAACGGGGCUAAACCAUGCACCGAAGCUGCGGCAGCGACACUAUGUGUUGUUGGGUAGGGGAGCG
rnacentral:rRNA from 2 species